rnacentral:lncRNA from 1 species
AUUUGGGAUUGUUUAAGUGAAAUUGGCGUUACCUUGCCUACCUCCCCUCAGAACUCACUUCUGUGCUACAGGCAGUUUCCCUGGAACACCGAAGACUCACCACCUGAGGGCUUUUCCCUUGAAACAUAUCCUGUUGCCGCCAGAAGUCGCCCCCAAGAACAGCCUUCAACCAGAGAUUACCAGAAGUUGGUGAAUAAACACCCCAACUGCUUGGCUUUACAGAUGAGUUUCCUGACUUCUAAAUUGGUGAUUCCUGGAGGAAUUCUUCAUGUACUGAGGAUUCAAUGAGAAAGCAAAGAGGAGGUACCCAAGAUGAUGGAGACAUUCACCAAGUAUUAGUUCCUUUCUUUUGUUAUUGAUAUGUUUAUUUUAAGAACAUUUUUCACCAGGUUAGUUCUGCCAGAUUCAUGAAACC